rnacentral:rRNA from 1 species
CCUACGGGGGGCAGCAGUAGGGAAUCUUCCACAAUGGGCGAAAGCCUGAUGGAGCAACGCCGCGUGGGUGAAGAAGGUCUUCGGAUCGUAAAACCCUGUUGUUAGAGAAGAAAGUGCGUGAGAGUAACUGUUCACGUUUCGACGGUAUCUAACCAGAAAGCGCCGGCUAACUACGUGCCAGCAGCCGCGGUAAUACGUAGGUGGCAAGCGUUAUCCGGAUUUAUUGGGCGUAAAGGGAACGCAGGCGGUCUGUUAAGUCUGAUGUGAAAGCCUUCGGCUUAACCGGAGUAGUGCAUUGGAAACUGGGAAGCUGGAGUGCAGAAGAGGAGAAUGGAACUCCAGGUGUAGCGGUGAAAUGCGUAGAUAUAUGGAAGAACACCAGUGGCGAAAGCGGCUCUCUGGGCUGUAACUGACGCUGAGGUUCGAAAGCGUGGGUAGCAAACAGGAUUAGAUACCCUAGUAGUC